UGCUCAUCAUGGUCAUGGUCGUGGUCGUGAUCGCCAUGGGCAUGGUCAUGAUCGUGCGAAUGCUCAUGGUCAUCAUGAUCAUGAUCGUGACCAUGA
rnacentral:misc_RNA from 1 species